rnacentral:rRNA from 1 species
UACGGAGGACCCGAGCGUUAUCCGGAUUCAUUGGGUUUAAAGGGUGCGUAGGCGGAUUAGCAAGUCAGAGGUGAAAGCCUACAGCUUAACUGUAGAAUUGCCUUUGAUACUGCUGAUCUUGAAUAUGGUUGAGGUGGAUGGAAUGUGUCAUGUAGCGGUGAAAUGCUUAGAUAUGACACAGAACACCAAUCGCGAAGGCAGUUCACCAAACCAUUAUUGACGCUGAGGCACGAAAGCGUGGGGAG